rnacentral:lncRNA from 1 species
CAAGGCCCCCCACCAACGCCAUGAUAGCAUUCCGUGCAACAGCAUCCGAUGGGGGGAUAAGCCAUUGGUGGUGGAGGACAAGGUUCUGGAACCUUUGGUGGUGGUGGUGGUGGUGGUUCUUUUGGUUUCUCAGGUUCCUUAGGCUUUUCGGGUUCUUUCGGCUUUUCGGGUUGUUUCGGUUUCUCGGGUUCUUUGGGUUUUUCGGGUUCUUUCGGCUUUUCGGGUUGUUUAGGUUUCUCGGGUUCUUUGGGUUUUUCGGGUUCUUUUGGUUUUUCUGGUGCUUUAGGCUUUUCGGGUUCUUUUGGUUUUUCUGGUACUUUAGGCUUCUCAGGUUCUUUGGGUUUUUCAGGUUCUUUGGGCUUUUCGGGUUCUUUAGGCUUCUCAGGCUCCUUGGGUUUGGGAGGAGGAGGUGGAGGUUUGAUCUCAAUGCUCUUGAUUGAUCCAGCACCCUUGCAACAUAUCUUGUCCCUCAGCUUCUCAGGAUUGCAGCAUACCACGGUAAUGGUCACGGUGUUGGUUUUCUCAUCGUAUAUCUGGUCUCGUAUUUCUCUUGUUCGCAAAAACCCAUCAUCAAAAAAUUAUCAACUUAAACCAGUUCACACUUCACUGUCUUCAGCUCAAUCAUAAAAUAAAUAAAAAAACUACUUUGCAAUUAUUAAAAUGCUAAACACACAAAGGACAAGCAUAAAAAUCAGGAAACGGGAACUCACGAGGGAAUUUACACAGCACUUUCUUCACUUUCUUGUAGCAUCGCCAGCACUGAAGGUCUACCUUCAGCACCAUUACAGUCACCUACAUCCGUACACGCACACAUGUAAAGUUAUAAAUUAUUACGUAUCUUGUGAAUGAUGGAAGUCAGAGAGACAGAGAAAGUAAAUAAUUCCAUAUAUCAUCAUUAACAAACAAAACAACAAGGGAUUCAGGUUCUGGAAUGGAAGGAUCAAGAAAUAUCAAAAAGAUCACAAAAAAAAGCAAUUUACAGUGAAAAAAAACAAUGAUAAGAACGAAAUGGGUAUUAGGAGUUGAGAACUCAAAAAGAGAUAAGAUUAUAAGAAACCUUCUCCGCCAUGGCUUAGAACUGAGAGACCUCAGAUCUGAACAAAGAAGAUAGAAGAAGCAAAGGAAGGGCGAUGAAAUGAAGAACCAAUAUUUGAAAGCGAAAGAGAGCAAAGCGAGAUCGAGGAUUGAAGAGAGCCUUGUAAUUUAAGCUUCCACUUAUUCUAUUAAAAGGUCAGGCAGGCAGACUAGGCCCUAGUAAAGCCCAAUUAAUAGUGGACACGUGGAAUUUGAGUAGAACUUCAACAGAUGGGGUUGCUUUUUGAUUGCUGACUCUACAAUCUUUCCUCUUUCUUUCUGGAUGCGACGGCUGGCGCUAAUGCAGUCAGCUAGUUUAACAUUUCUGGACUAAUUUUGAGUAGGGGGGAAAUUGUGAUUUAAAUAAUUAAAUUAAUUUUUAAAGAUUUUGUAAGUAUAAUUUCUGUAUAAAUUUAAUAUAUAUCCCAUCAAAUUAGAUCACUCAAUAUAAAUACAAGGAAUUAAAAUUUAAAAUGUAUUAAAAAAAUAAAAUUUAAACUUAAAUCAAAACAAAAUAUAUUUGGAAGGCAAGUGAAAUUUAAAGGUCAAAUUGUACUAUUAGACCAUUUAUUAUUUUUUAAAAUAAUACAAAUAUGUUAAUAUCUAAUUACAAAUAUUUAAUAGUUAUAUUUAAACAUAUAACUUAUAAUUUAUAUAUUUUAACUAAAAUUUAUAUAUAAUUAAUAUUUAUUGCUUAAAAAUAUUUAAAAUUUAUAAUUCACAUAUUAAAAUAUUAAUAAAAAAUUUAUAAUAAAUUAUUAUUAUAUUCUUAUUAAAAUAUAAUAAUAUUAAUUAAUUUGAACAUUAUUUAAAUGCAUAUUUGUUGCUUAAUAAUACCAUGUCUAAAAUAGACAUUUUAUUUCUUAAAAGUACUUUUUUGACAGUAAUACUAAAUACUCAAAUCUUAAAUCAAACUUUCAAAAGUACUUCUUAAAAACACUUUUCCAGAGCAAUUUUCAAAAGUAUUGCUAAAACUAACUCUUAGUUCACAUUCAUCAAUUAGAUCAUUCUCGGUGGCUAUAUAUUUUUUUAAAUUUCGAAUUUUUAAACUUAAUGUAAACGAAAAUCGUUAAAUAUAUUAACUGAUUAUUUGCAAGUAAUAUGUGAAAAUAACAAACAAACAAAACUUAACUUAUUGAAUUUAAUAAUUAUCAUUUGAUAAGGACUAUUUAAAUUCGAAAAACAUAAAAUCGAAAAUGACCAAAUUAAAAUACAAAUAUUAAAUCUAUAACUUAUACAAAAUACAAAAAUAAUAAAAUUUGACCAAAUUUAAACCCAGAGAAAACUAAUGAGGCAUGGUUGAACAUUAAAAGUUGUAGACUCUCUUUUUUACCAACAUUAUACCAAAGUUUCAUUGACAACUGAUGUGCUUCAAAUUGUCAAAGUAAUUAAAUUAUUUGAUAAACUGGGCCGAGUUUAGACAAAAAUAGGUGCAAAUAUGGGGGAUGAGGUUGCAGGUCCAGAUGCACACACGAGUAACAAGAAGCCCAUUGGGGUUGCAUCCAUUCUUCUGGUUAACAAUUUAUAGUAAUAAAUGAGAUAAUGUGAUAGUUUUUAUCCUCUGCUCUCCCUUCAUGGAAUUGGGACUCUUUUUUGAUGAAUGAAAUUCUUGACUUAUCAUAAUAAUUUACAAACGGAAGGAGCUAAAAUCGGCAGCAAACUUGAUCCGACUCAAGGUUUUUUAUUUUUGGGUAAACAAAAUAUUUGUAGCCUCAACGUCGAAUUUUCGGUCGGCUAAUACAUUACAGACUGAGGUCCAAGAUUUUGGUGAUGAAGCCAUGUCUCGUGUCAUUGCAACCCUUGCCUAUGUAUUCGUCAUUGACAGUAGCGGAGCCCCGAGAGAGGGGGUUGGCAGAUACCGACCCCCUCCAAAAAAAAAAAAAACAAAAACUUCUUUUAGCUUCGCCCUUGUCGAUUGAUGUCCAUAAUCUUUGUAGAGGAGUCAUUACUUUUUUAGUAUCUAGAAUCAAAAUGUAUAGUCAUUAUAAAUUAAUCAAAAGUUCAUAAACAAUGAAAAAUUAUAUUUCAUACAAAAAUAAAACCCCAAAUUAGAUUAUCCAAAUAAAAGAGAGAAUUCAUAGAAAAAGCAAAGCUAAACAUAUUUAGGAAGUGUUGGUAUAUAUUCAUCAAUCUAACGAAUCAAGAAUACAAGUUAAAUAGUUUAAGGUGUGUUGUACAUUGUCCUUAAAAAUAUUUUGCCGUAUAAUGUGUCCAUAAGAUUCAACAAACUCUUCUAUUAUAAAACGAUAACAUGAAUUAAUCAUAGAUUAUAAUAGAAAAUAUUUACUAAACUCAAAAGGAGGAGGAGAAAAACGAGGGGAGAAUGAUAUACUUUUUUAGAUGUAUUUAAAGUGAAAAUAAGUCAUAAGAGUUUUACCGGCAAAAAAUAGUAAAGUGAAAUGGAUUUGACUUUGUUAAAAAUAGUUAAAAAAAGGUUCAACGAAUUUGGACUUGGCUAAAUAUAGCUUCAGUCAGUUAAACUAUUUUUAUCUUGGCUAAAUACAGGUGUUACUAGUUAAAUAGUUUUUUUCUUAAACCCUAACAAUUUUGAAAAUGAGUGAUUAAGGACAAUUAAUAGUGGCGUUACUAUUUUCCAUCCAUUUUACAUAAUAUCGAUUAGUAUAAUAAAAAAUUUGGCCCUCAAGAUUUAAAUAUUUUGUUAAUUUAUUCCUGAUUCUAAUAAAUUAAACUAGUUUAGCCUUCAAUAUUUACAUAUUUUAUCAAAUUCAUCAUGUUUCUAGAAAAACAUAUGAAAAAGUAAAUAAAUAAAUAUUUUUUAGAAAAUCUAAAAAUUUAAAAAGAAUAUAUAAAAAUAAUUUAAACUUCCUAAAAUAUAUAUGAUGUAUUAAAGGGUCAAUCAUAUUGUGCCAUGUGUAUUAAAAAAUAUUUAAUCUAAUUUUUUAUUUUCUUUUAAAUUUUUUAAUUAAAAAAUAAAUAAAUUUAAUUAAUUAAUUAACCUUUUCAAUUUUAUUUCUUUCCUUUUAAUCUUUCUUCCUUCCUCCUCUUUCUUCUAGCUUCAUCACCAUCAUCGUCACCAUUAGGGUGAGUAUUCGAUCGAGUCGAGUCAAAUCGAGUAAAAAAAUUUCAAGUUAAUCGAGUUGACGAAUCCUAUUUUAUCAAUUGAACUCAAUUUGAAUUUUUUUUUAAUCGAGUUGAAAAAUUUCAAGUCGAGUCGAGUAACGAAUCUUAUUAUUUAUACUUAAUGUUGCAUUUACAUGGACUGAUUAUUUUACUAGUAGACGAAGUACAAUCUUUUAGAUUAAUUUUGAGUAAAGGAAAAAGGGAAAGUGGGGCGAUUCAAGAAGGAAAGUAAGACUACUAGGUAAAUAUUUAUUAAAACAACGUAAUUUUUCCUUUUAACUUGAUAGUUUUGACUUUUAAUUUUAGAUAAAAUAAAUAUUUAUCAAAACAACGUAAUUUUGUUUUUUCUUAUUUAGAUUUUUGAAUAAUUUGAAUUAAGUGUGAGUGUUCGGCCGAAUCGAGUGAAAUUGUUCGAGUUAAAUUAAAAAAAUUAAUAAUGUCAAAUUAAAAUCUUGUUAAAAUAUAACUUUUUCCAUGUUAGAGCACAAAUAAAUCAUAUAUAUUUGCAAACUUUUUGAAAGAAUAAUAAUAAUAGUAUAUUUUAGUAUGAUAAACUUGAAUCACUAAUCACUUAUUUAGAUUCCACAAUUAUUAUUUUAUAAAAAAUUUAAAUUUUUAAAUUUUUACAUUUUCAAAAUUGUUUUAAUAUAUUUUUUAGGAGUUUUAUAAAUAUUUUGAAUUUUAAAAAUUAUUUUGAUUUUUUGUAAUUUUUGUUAAGAGAGAGACUAAUUUGCUCAUUUUCAAAAUUGAUAAGGACUAAAAGUGUAUUUAUAUUUAUUCGAAUUGUAAAAAUUCAACUCGACUUGAACUCGAAAUCCGAAAUUUCUUAUUUAAGUUGACUCGAAUAAUUUGAAUAAUUAAAUUCGAUUAAUUUGAAAUUUAAAUUUUUAAAAUUUUUUUUAAAUCAAAUUAAAUUUUGUUCAACUCUAAUCACAAUGACCGAUGCCUAACUUUGCUCAGCCCGCCGCCACAUCUGCUCAAGCUCUGACCCAGCGCCGUUCACACAUCUUUACCAUCGUCAUUUUCCAACUAAAGCUCCAUUAACACCAAAUGGUAAAAUAGCUAGCAAUGUUGAGUCAAUGCUUGAGCAGCAGCAGUUGCUUGAACGGAGCUCGACGGCGGUGAUGGUGAACGACAAUGGUGAUGAAGCUAGGAGGAGAAGAAACAAGAAAGAUUAAAAAGGAAAGAAAUAAAAUUGAAAAGGUUAAUUAAUUAAUCCAUUAAAGUUAUUUAUUUUUUAAUUGAUAAAAAUUAAAAUAAUUUAAAUAAAAUAUUUUUAAUACACAUGGCACAGUAUGAUUGGCGCUUUAAUACAUCAUAUAUAUUUUAUGAAUAUUUUUAUAUAGUCUUCUUAAAUUUUUAGAUUUAAAAAUAAAAUAAAAUAAAAUAAAAUAAGAAUGAUAGUUAUUGGACAAUGGUAGGGAUUCCAAAAUUCCUACAGAAAAACCAACUUCUGCCAUUCUCUUCUUGACACACUUUCAAGAAAAUUAGGCUAAAAAACAAGUCAAGGUUUUAUUAAUUACUCAAAGGAAUCAUGUAAAGACAUACAGUCAGAGGCUGGUAAACUCCUCCUCAACCAACCGCAAAUGAAGAAAAUUCAACCACAACUCCACUCAUCCAUUUUAUUCAUCUCCUCCCCUGCUUCAACAUUGCAAAUAGCAAACCCAAAUUUCGUAAUAAUAAAGAAAAACAAAACGUAAAAGAACAAGCCAAGGCAGGCACUCAAAUGGAAUAGAUUAUACAUUUUAUCCACUCUCCACCUCACAUGGGUGUACAAUAACCUGACGUUUUAUGUUCACUCCCAUCAUAACAACGGCCGCACCUCCCACAACCACAUGAUCCACCACCACCACCACAACCCUUGCACCAAAAGCUGCCGCACCCCUUACAUAAAGACGAAAAAGAGCCUUUGCAUCCUCCGCAAGAGGUGCUGCUGCACCCUCUGCAACUCCAGCUAUUGUAGUAUCCGUAUCCGUAUCCGUAUCCACCACUACCACUACAACCCCCACCACAUGAUUUGUUGCCGCAACCUAUGCAACACCCUCUACAAGAAGAGCUUCCACACCCGCUGCAUGACCAGGACGACCAGUUGCUGCAUCCGCUAACGAAGAGCUACCGCAACCUUUACAUGAAGCCUUGCUGCUGCUACAAGCACCACAAUACCAGCUGAUCCACCCAUGACCUAAGCAGCUUUUGCACCCACUGCCCCCACAACCAUUACAACACAUUUUUUUCCCGCAAUUCUCAUUGCAUGCCUUUGCCAGUGGGAGUGGAAUAUAUAUGGUCUGGUUGCAUGGGCCUUCAGGAUGCCACAUGUUGCAUACCUUACAAAGUAUCCAUACUAUUUUUGUCUCAGGUUCCUUCUUAGGGGGCUUAUCUUUAUCUUUUGUUUCAGUAGGUGCUUUCUUUUCAGGCGGUUUAAUCUCAAUGCUUUUGAUGCAACUUCCGGCCUUGCUCCUUAUCUUGGUCUUGAUACACUGAGGAUCGAUGGAGACCACAGUGAUGGUCACCGUAUUUGCCUUCUCAUCGUAUUUCUGGUCUCUUAUUUCUGUUCAACACCAUUACAUCACAUUUAAUCGGUUUUCAUUUAUGUUAUAUAUUUGUUCAUGCAUAUAAUUUAGGCACAAAUCAUAAUGAGAAAAGAAAAGAUCGAUCAAACUUGCCCGGAUAUUUGCAGAGCACUUUCUUGACCUUCUGAUAGCAGCGGUAGCACUGAAGGUCAACUUUCAACACCAUUGUUGUGCCCUACAACAGUGCUCUUAUCAAUCAAUGUGAUAGGUAAGAAAAGAAAAAGAGCAAUAUAUAUAUAUUAUCAUACUACAGAAAUUCCAUCAAACAUGUAGAAAUCAUAGAUAAAAAAGGUGUAUUUAAAAAUAACAUACAAGGAAUAACCAAAUGUAUUAUUUACAAUUAACUAAUAAAAAUAUAUGAAAUAUUUUUAUAUUAAAAUGAAAAAUUAAGAUUAAAUUGUGAGUGAAACGAAAUUUAAAUAUAUAAAUAUAUCAAAUUAAGAAUACUAUAUGAGUACAAUUGUAAAUAUUAUAUUAAAAUAAAUAAAGAAUAAUAGUUUAAAUAUACAAUUGUUAUAGGUAAUAAAAUAUGCAUAAAAAAAUUAAAAUACACAAAUUAUUUCAACUUAAAACUUUGUUUGAGCGAUAAAUGUCUUGGGUUCAAAUUGUAUUACAUGUAAAUUUUUUUAUUGUUCUUUUAAGUAAAAGAAUAAAAUAUCCUCAAAUAAUAUUAUUUAUUUUAAUUAUGAAAAGAUAUUUUCAUAAUUUUUUUAAUAGAGUUAGUAAUUUAAAUUGUAAUCUAUUGACCGAGUGUUCACUUUAUUCAGAAAUAGCUCGGAUUGAUUCUGAGUUGUAAAAAGAAAUAGAUAUAUAGAAAGAGAGAAUUAAUGCAAUGCCAUCUCAUAGAAAAUGAAUUUCUAUUUUAGUACAUAGAAAUAACUGAAUUCAAUUCAACCCAGUAUAGUGCUCCUAAACGUGGCAAUGGAAAUGGAUUGUUCAGGACUUUGGAUAUCCUGGUAUCCUCCGCUGUAAUAUUAGGGGGAUUGAAGUCUGCGGCUCAUGAUUCACGAUUUCUACCGCUUAAGCGAACGUAUGUACAUGCACAUACAUAUAUAUAUAUAUAUUACGUGUGUCACAUAUGUACGUAGAAAUAACAUAUUUAGAACACAUAUAUUUUUUUAAAAUAAUAUACAAGAAAUAAUGAAAUAUAAUAUUUGAAACUAAUAAUAAUAACAAUAGCAACACGUAUACAAUAUGUUCAAAAUUAAAAUAAAAAAGUUUAAAUUGUACGUAAAAAAAAUUCAAAUAAGUAAAUAUAUCAGACUAAGAAUAUUAAAUGUAAUCUAAAUAUUUAUCAUGAUAUUUUCAUUUUUCUUGAGUUGGUCAUGACACCAACUCAUUCAAUCAACGACAUUAUCAAUAUAUACGAACAAUGUGGGUAAAACAAUUUGUGUAAUAAAAUUAAAAUGUAUAAAAACAUAAAAAUAAAGCUUUGGUCAAAAUGGUGAAAAAAUUAUCGAUGUUGGUAGCAUGAGUUUAAAUCUCAACUGUUUCAACAUUUUUAUUGAUUUUUUAAAUAAGAAGAAGACAAAAGUACGCUCAUAGUAAUAUAACUUAUUUAAAAUAUAAUUUUCUUGACUGAGUUAGUGUCGAGUUGACACCAACUCAGUCACACACUUAAAUUAAAAAUUAAAAAUUCUACCCCACAUGUAUACGUGUGGAAACCAAGAAUUUAAAACACGUGUUUAAAAAAUAAUAUACAAUAAAUAAUAAAAUGUAAGGUUUGAAAUUAAUAAUAGUAACACAUAUGUAAUAAAAUUUAUUUUUUAAAAUAAAAAAAAUGACAAGCAUUUUCAUAAUAAUAAAACUUAUUUAAAUUAUUUAAAAUUAUUUUAAGAAUUUUGUUGAUGAAAUUAAUGUCGAGUUGAUUUGUUACAUUAGACUCAUAUACUUGGAUAAUAAUAUAGAAAAGAUAGAUAGAAAAUUGCACGUAUAAUAUUAUAUUUAUAUUAAAAUAGUUAUUACUAUUCUUCCAUUUAUUUUCUGCAAUGAUAUAUAUAUAUGAUACUAAGUAUUGGUAAAGAAUGUAAAAGUUAAGAGUGAGUUUGGAUAGACGGUGUAAUACGGUAUGUUUAAUUUAUUUUUUGUUUCAUAUUAUAUUAUCAUUUCAAUAUUUAAUUUUAUUAUUAUUAUUAUUAUUAUUACACUAAUUAAAAGUAAAUAUACAAACUCAACUCAAAUAAUGAAUCUUUCGUUAUUUUGGAAACAUAAAAAUGUAGAGUUUAUGGAGUUAACACAUAAAUAUAUAAUUAUAUAUAUACAUAUCAGACUAGCUAAUCCGUAAAUAACAGACAGCACAUAUGACAUAGUAAUAUUAAAGAAAAUAAAUAAAUGGUGAAAUAAUGCCAUACCUCUGCCAUAGCAGUGGAUGAUAGAGCCAAGUGAAACAGACAAAGAGAUAAAAAUCAAGAGAUGGGUGUCCUUCUUACACUACUAUAUCAACCUAAGCGGCUAAAUUGCGUCUUAAAUAGGGCGAAAGACUUUGACUCCAUGCACUCUCGACCACCAAUCGUAUCCAUCCGACACAGAAUGUUUUUCUUAUCACGAGUCACGACCAAGAUUGUCGUCAUAUGUGUUAUUGAAUGAUUGACACAUGGUACCUUUCAUAAAUUGAUGAUGGCAAAUUUUUUAAAUUAUCACCGCCAAGGAACUUAACUUUGAUUGGACGUAGAACCAUCCAAACAACAACCUCGUUCUGGUAUGAAAAAGGUAUAUCAUCCUCCCCAACUACGUUAUUUUGUUAUUUGAUAUUCGAGCUGUUGUGGGUGACACAUCCAUGGCAUUAAUUAUAUAGAUUUUAAUCUCCGGUCCCGGAUUUAUGCUCUCUUUCUUGGACCCAUCCUCAUUUCUAGGCUUUAUAUUAUAUUGGCAUGAGAUGCUUGGUAUCCAAUAGUCAACUUAGAAAAAAGACAUUGUAUCCCAACUACAUUUAGAGUUGAGUUACGACCGGCUCUUUAACGAGAAUGCUUAUCAACAUUGGUACUCUUUUAGCUUUGUAUCUCAAGUAACUAAAAGGAUUUAUAUUUGAAACAUUAUCUUUGUAUUAAUAUUACGUUAGUUGGAGUAUUAUUUUUAUGCAUGUUUUAAUAUAUAAGUUAAUAAUAAACUAAUCGAAUUGGUAAUAUUUAACCAUUCUCAUUACUUAUUUUUAGUCAAGAGGAGAAAAAAAUUCCUUUUUUUUUACAAGAGUUUUUACUCAUCUUUCUAAUAUUAAGUUUAAAUUUGUACUAAUUAUUUUUUAUUUUAUGUCUAACUAUUUCCCUAUGUUAUUACAUUAGCAGCCAUAGGAGUUUUUAGUUAGGUAUGAGAAUGGAGUGUAUUGGGAUGGAUGUUGGUAAAUCCACUAUUGCUGCAUCGUUUGCAUGCUCUAUAUUAUCAUCCGUUUUGCUCCAUUAUGGAUGUGUAAUCUUAAAAACUACUACCAAUUUCAUGGAUGUUGGAAACAUCCAUUCCCACCCUCGUCUCACCUCAAUUUAAUUUUUGCUAGUUAUUUAUAAUAUCUUUAAUUUAAAAAAAAUCAAAUAUUUAAGCAUAAUUCUUCAAAACAAAAAUUUCUAAAAUUUUCAUUUUGAUUUUUAGUUUUGAGAUAUAUGGGUAAGGAAGAAAGCAAAAGAAUUUAGGUUUUUUUUUAUAUAAUUCAUUAUUACACUUUUACACUUUUAAAUUUGAAUAAUAUAAUUUUUGGCCUAUAAACUUGGCAUCUAGAUACAUUUUGAUAUUUUUAUUUUUAUUUUUGGUUCACUUUGAUACCUAAACUUGCAACUAGAAUCAUUUUGGUCCCUGAACUUGAAUUUCGUCAAGAUUUGAUGAUAUGAUCAAUUUUCUUGGAAUAUGACUAGAUUGAUUGGUCAGACUGAUUGGACUGAUAAUCGACCAUAUACUAGUCCAAACAAAGGGGUUGGGCUGAUUGAAUUGAAAACUGCUCGAAACCGAUAAAAAAAACACAAAAACCAAUAGUUGAACAUGUUAAACCGGUUUAAUAAAUUUUUUAAUAUUUAAAAUAAUAGAAUUAUGAAUUAUUAUUUUAAUUAUUGUUGGUAUAGUUGUAGACCCAAUGCAAUCGAUUGAACCAUGAACCAAUGGUCUAACUAGUUCAAUCACUAAUCUAGUUAUUAGAACACUGUAUGUUACACUCUAAUAUUGUACCACGCCAUCACCUGAAAUUUUAUAUAUUUUUUUAAUUUUCAAGUGAUGAUGUGGCACGAUCUCAAAAGGCCAUGCCAUCAAACUUUUAUAUUUUUCAAGUUCAAGGACCAAAAUGAAUCUAGUUGUCAAGUUUAAGUACCAAAGUAGAUAAAAAAGUACAGGUAUCAAAAUGGACCUAGUUGCCAAGUUCACGGGGCAAAAAUUAUAUUAUCCCUUUUAAGAUUUAAUAGUUAUGGGCAUAAUGUAAAAUUUAGCCUUUAAUGUUUACAUUUUUUUGUCAAUUCGAUUUUUAUUCUUUUUUAUUUUAGCUAAAUUUGAUCAUCAACCUUUUAAAAAGAGUCUACUUAAUUGUUUUAAAUGAAAAUAUUGACUAAAAUGUUAAAAUUUUCAACAUGGUAGCCCGCAUGACAACAAAUAUGUACUUCAUCCUAAUUUAUUAAUUUUUUUAAUUUGUAUUUUUUUUGAAUAUUUUUAUAUUUUUAAAUUAUUUGUUGCCAACGAAGUAUACACUUUUGGUCAACAUAUAUGUAUGUUUGCUUACAAAGCACGAAGAAUAAUUGAUCUGAUUCAUUAAUGUUCCUACGAAGAAACAUUUAUAAAACUAGAACUCAUGCCUUAAAGAUGUAGUCAUCGAUUCUCCCGAGAGGCCACAGUUACCGCGAGAAAACACAUUAAUUUAAUGACGAGGAGCACAUUUUUCUAUGCUACUAAUACUUGUACUUGCUCUGCUAUUCUGCCCAAGCUUGACUGAGGAAGAGUUACAGGGCAUAAAAAAAUGCUUAUUUUAUUUUCUUUUGGCAGGUAAUACUAUAUAUAAAAUAGAAAAGUAAAAAUAUAUGAUAAAUAAUAAAUAAAAGGCCACUCCAUUUUGGCAAAAGACCUAAGCUCUCAAGUUCCAUAGCUUUGGGUUU